rnacentral:rRNA from 1 species
CCUACGGGUGGCAGCAGUGGGGAAUAUUGCGCAAUGGGCGAAAGCCUGACGCAGCGACGCCGCGUGAGGGAUGAAGGUCUUCGGAUCGGAAAACUCUGUCAGCAGGGAAGAACGGUCACUGUGCUAAUCAGCAGUGAAUUGACGGUACCUGCAAAGGAAGCACCGGCUAACUCCGUGCCAGCAGCCGCGGUAAUACGGAGGGUGCGAGCGUUAAACGGAAUUACUUGGCGUAAAGCGCUCGUAGGCGGUAUUGCAAGUCAAGGGUGAAAUCCCCGCGCUCAACGUGGGAACUGCAUUUGAAACUGGCAAACUGGAGUGUGUGAGAGGAUAGUGGAAUUCGAGGUGUAGGAGUGAAAUCCGUAGAUAUCUGGAGGAACAUCAGUGGCGAAGGCGACUAUCUGGCACAUAACUGACGCUGAGGAGCGAAAGCGUGGGUAGCAAACAGGAUUAGAUACCCCAGUAGUC